rnacentral:rRNA from 1 species
GGACGGGUGAGUAACGCGUAGGAAUCUACCUUAUAGUGGGGGAUAGCCCGAAGAAAUUCGGAUUAAUACCGCAUAAGCCCUACGGGGGAAAAGGGGCCUCUCCUUGGAAGCUCUUGCUAUUAGAUGAGCCCGCGUAAGAUUAGCUAGUUGGUGGGGUAAAGGCCUACCAAGGCAACGAUCUUUAGCUGGUCUGAGAGGAUGAUCAGCCACACUGGGACUGAGACACGGCCCAGACUCC